rnacentral:rRNA from 1 species
GUGGGGAAUAUUGGACAAUGGGGGGAACCCUGAUCCAGCCAUGCCGCGUGUGUGAAGAAGGCCUUCGGGUUGUAAAGCUCUUUAGUCCACGAAUAUAAUGACUGUAGUGGAAGAAUAAGCCCCGGCUAACUUCGUGCCAGCAGCCGCGGUAAUACGAAGGGGGCGAGCGUUAUUCGGAAUCACUGGGCGUAAAGCGUGCGUAGGCUGUUUUGUAAGUCAGAAGUGAAAGCCCAGGGCUUAACCCUGGAAUUGCUUUUGAAACUACAAGACUCGAAUUCGGGAGAGGAUAGCGGAAUUGUCAGUGUAGCAGUGAAAUGCGUAGAUAUUGACAGGAACACCAGUGGCGCAAGCGGCUAUCUGGACCGAUAUUGACGCUGAGGCACGAAAGCGUGGGGAGCAAACAGGAUUAGAAACCCGAGUAGUCC